AGUUGGGAAACAGCCCUGUUGUGGUUGGGCUCGCCCCCUCCUCUUCCUUGCCAGGUGUUCACCAUGGCAACCUUCCUUCCAAACAAGAGGCACAGAGAGCAUCAGCAUCUGGUGCUGGGAGCCAGGGAAGCCUAAGGGGAAUGGAGAUGGGGAAACAGCCACUCUUCUCUUCUUGUAGGACAAGGUCCAGGCCUGGCUUUGACCCAUGUUUACAGUCACUUUCCAUGACCUGCACUUAACGCACUUCUCCCAGAGUUCACCUGCAUCUGGACUCACGUGGGCAUCGAUGAUGAGGCUCUAUGCAAGGCCCCUCGGAGUAAGGCGGGUCUCGAGAAAUGCUUGAUUAGGUGUUUCCUGAGGGGCCUGCCUGAGUGGGACGACAAGCUGGCAGCUCGCCUGGAAGAUUCUGAGAAGCAGCAGGAGUGACUGAGGCCAUCGUCAGAUGCAGAAACAGGAGCCCAGUGAAGUCAAACAAUUUGCCCAGGGACAACCAGUAAGCAAGGAAAAGAAGUGAGCAAGAAUGAGGUCUUCCAAUCCUGGCUUCCAGCUUUGGAUGCCUUUCUCUGUCAGCAGACUCAAGUGGGAAGAGAUUGGUUCAAAGGAGCCCAGCUCAGAAAAGGAAGAGUGGAUCAAGACAGAAGCUAAGACCCUUCAACUCCAAAGCCUGGCUUCUGUCACUGUCACGGAAGUUGAGUCUUCAUUACUCAGAGAUCUCAGUUCUCAGGAACAAUGACUGAGCAGAAAGACAGACUUAGAACUCCACAGCCAAAGCCCAAGAGAUCACAGGGGAAGCCCAGACAAGCUGGGGCAAGAACCAGCAGGGCUGUGGAGCCAGGACUGGAGCUGCAGCUGGGCCACUGGGCACCAGCCCUCAUGGGGCAAGGACCCCAGAACCACCAUGUGUGUUGAAUAGUCACCUGUGGAAGGGCGGAAGAGCUGAGAGUCGGGACAAUAUGUAAACCUUGC